AAGAAAGUAAGAAAGGGCGUAUGGCGGAUGCCUAGGCUCACGGAGGCGAUGAAGGACGUGAUAAGCUGCGAUAAGCUUCGGGUAGGUGCAAAUAACCUUUGAUCCGAAGAUUUCCGAAUGGGACAACCUAGCCGUCUGAAGGACGGUUACUCUUACCUUGGGUAAGAGAGCUAACGCAGGGAACUGAAACAUCUUAGUACCUGCAGGAAGAGAAAAUAAAUUAAUGAUUCCCCCAGUAGUGGCGAGCGAACGGGGAACAGCCCAAACCGUUGACGUCGCAAGGCGCCAGCGGGGUUGUAGGACCGCGACAUUGUAUGCAAAUCGUGAACAGAACACUUUGGAAAAUGUGACCAUAGACGGUGAUAGUCCAGUAUGUGAAGCGAAAUGCAGCAUAGCGGUAUCCUGAGUAACGCGGGACACGAGGAAUCCUGCGCGAAUCUGCCGGGACCAUCCGGUAAGGCUAAAUACUCCCGUGAGACCGAUAGCGAACGAGUACUGUGAAGGAAAGGUGAAAAG
rnacentral:rRNA from 1 species